GGAGAAAUUCCAAUCGAACCUGGAGAUAGCUGGUUCUCUCCGAAAUAGCUUUAGGGCUAGCCUCAAGUGAUGAUUAUUGGAGGUAGAGCACUGUUUGGACGAGGGGCCCCUCUCGGGUUACCGAAUUCAGACAAACUCCGAAUGCCAAUUAAUUUAACUUGGGAGUCAGAACAUGGGUGAUAAGGUCCGUGUUCGAAAGGGAAACAGCCCAGACCACCAGCUAAGGUCCCAAAAUAUAUGUUAAGUGGAAAAGGAUGUGGCGUUGCCCAGACAACUAGGAUGUUGGCUUAGAAGCAGCCAUCAUUUAAAGAGUGCGUAAUAGCUCACUAGUCGAGUGACACUGCGCCGAAAAUGUACCGGGGCUAAACAUAUUACCGAAGCUGUGGAUUGUCCUUUGGACAAUGGUAGGAGAGCGUUCUAAGGGCGUUGAAGCAUGAUCGUAAGGACAUGUGGAGCGCUUAGAAGUGAGAAUGCCGGUGUGAGUAGCGAAAGACGGGUGAGAAUCCCGUCCACCGAUUGACUAAGGUUUCCAGAGGAAGGCUCGUCCGCUCUGGGUUAGUCGGGUCCUAAGCUGAGGCCGACAGGCGUAGGCGAUGGAUAACAGGUUGAUAUUCCUGUACCACCUAUAAUCGUUUUAAUCGAUGGGGGGACGCAGUAGGAUAGGCGAAGCGUGCGAUUGGAUUGCACGUCUAAGCAGUAAGGCUGAGUAUUAGGCAAAUCCGGUACUCGUUAAGGCUGAGCUGUGAUGGGGAGAAGAC
rnacentral:rRNA from 1 species